GCAUAUCAAUAAGCGGAGGAAAAGAAACCAACAGGGAUUGCCUCAGUAACGGCGAGUGAAGUGGCAAAAGCUCAAAUUUGAAAUCCUUCGGGAGUUGUAAUUUGUAGGUUGGGAGACCCCGCGGCUAGUGGCACCAAGUCCCUUGGAACAGGGCGCCUUAGAGGGUGAGAGCCCCGUAGGUACCACAAUACCGUCUUGUGUCUCCUCUCCAAAGAGUCGAGUUGUUUGGGAAUGCAGCUCAAAGUGGGUGGUAAAUUCCAUCUAAAGCUAAAUACCGGCGAGAGACCGAUAGCGAACAAGUACAGUGAUGGAAAGAUGAAAAGCACUUUGAAAAGAGAGUGAAACAGUACGUGAAAUUGUUGAAAGGGAAGGGCUUGCAAGCAGACACGGCCUUCGUGCCGGGCCAGCAUCGGUUGCUAGGGGUGGAUAAGGAACAAGGAAUGUAGCUCCUCGGAGUAUUAUAGCCUUGCGCGAUACACCCACUGGCGACCGAGGCCUGCGGUAUUCUUUACCUAGGAUGCUGGCGUAAUGGUUGCAAGCCGCCCGUCUUGAAACACGGACC
rnacentral:rRNA from 1 species